UGAACCUGAAAAUGAGCACGAUGUGGGACCUUUAAAUACUAGAACGCAACAUCCUGUAAACAAUAAGGUGAAACACUUUUGUUGGGAAAUGAUCUGCAGUACACGCAGGUUUAAAAGAUGUUUUAUUUGUACGAGUGUUUUUUAAUCAAUUAUCAACCUCAGCUAUUCUCUGCCUGUUUUCCCAUGAAUCCAAGGGCUGAGAGAUGAGUGGCUGCAGCCAAUCCAGAGGAGGAUUACAGGAAGAUGUGACGCUACUACAAAAUAUCAACUUCAAGGGAAAUGAGACAGAGAUUGAAAAAGGUGAUGGUGCAAGAAUGGAUGAGCUAUAUUUGUGGCGUACUGCUGGUGAAUUUGAGCACACCAAUUUACCAGUUUUGCCAGAGGGGAGAGGGCCUUGGUCAUCUCCUGAGCAGCUCGUUCCACUCAGAUUUACUUUAAAACGCCAUCCAUCAUUAUUGGUGUGGAUGAAAUGUAGAGAGGACUGAGAGCAGGGAGACUUGGCCAGAAGACGAUGUCUUACAGUUGACUUCCUGGGAAAUAAAUGUUGGCUGCAUUAUUCAUGAAGCUCGCCAUAACUUUAAUCUGAUUCUUAAUUCAAGACUGUCCUCCUCUGACAAUAUUUCACGUCACUCUUUUCGCAAUUUCUUGGAAGCCGUCAUCUCUGCAAAUGUGUCUUUGGGCGGAUUAUCACUCCUGCUCUUGAUAGCAUCAUAUUGUAUUUCAAAUGAGAAUGCAGUAUGUCUGAG